UACGAACUGUGCGACCGUUAUUCGGAAUCACUGGGCUUACAGGGUGCGUAGGCGGCUUUUCAAGUCAGGUGUGAAAGCCCCCGGCUCAACCGGGGAAUUGCGCUUGAAACUGGAGAGCUCGAGUCAGCUAGAGGUGCACGGAACUUCCAGUGGAGCGGUGAAAUGUGUUGAUAUUGGAAGGAACACCGGAGGCGAAAGCGGUGCACUGGGGCUGGUCUGACGCUGAGGCACGAAAGCCAGGGGAGCGAACGGG
rnacentral:rRNA from 1 species